GCGAUUUCAGCUGGUGCACCAGUUCAGGACGGCGUGAUGAAACAAGCACUCGGGAUGAGUGAUGUGUGCCAGCAUGAUGCUGCCUGCUCUGCCGACUCACAGCUUCAAGACUCAGCAGAGCCCUCAUUACAGCGGCAGCAUAAUGUCAUACCAGGCUGACUGAGAACUCAGUGGAUGCAGCCGUUCAAAACACCAGAUAAAGGUACCCUUAGAGGAUAUAGCUGCCCCGCAGACACCAACACAUCCACUACAGCUAGAAGCCCCUGUGCAUGCUUUUUAGAUAAUGGAGUGGAUGAGUAGCUGGGACAUUUGCUGAGUGGCAGCAUGAGAGUGUUACUGCUCUUCAUUACCACAUUAGCCAACAUCCUGGUGAAGAUUACAUGGAUAUAGAGAGGAUUAUGUAAAGAUGCAGCAUGAUGUAAGCGACUAAAUCG
ensembl:lncRNA